rnacentral:rRNA from 1 species
GGAGCCUGAGAAACGGCUACCACAUCUAAGGAAGGCAGCAGGCGCGCAAAUUACCCAAUGAAAACAGUUUUGAGGUAGUGACGAGAAAUAACAAUACAGAGCAUUUAAAUGUUUUGUAAUUGGAAUGGUGGGAAUCUAAACCCCUUUCAGAGUAACAAUUGGAGGGAAAGUCUGGUGCCAGCAGCCGCGGUAAUUCCAGCUCCAAUAGCGUAUAUUUGAGUUGUUGCAGUUAAAAAGCUCGUAGUUGGAUUUCUGUCUUGGCUUUUACGUGUACUACAUGUAUAUUAAUUUAUAGAUGUUUUAUAACAGCGUUUAAACUUUGACAUAUUAUCCCAAUGUGUGUAUGUGUGUGUAUAUAUAGAGAAUUAGGUUUUAARACCUUGAUUUAAUAUAUAUAUAUAUAUAUAAUCAUUGGGACUUUUACUUUGAGAAAAAUAGAGUGUUUCAAGCAGGUAUUUUUUUGCCUUGAAUACUGCAGCAUGGAAUAAUAAUAUAGGACUUUGGUUUUAUUUUGUUGGUUUCUAA